GAUGAAGAACGUAGUGAAAUGCGAUAAGUAAUGUGAAUUGCAGAAUUCAGUGAAUCAUCGAAUCUUUGAACGCACAUUGCGCCCGCCAGUAUUCUGGCGGGCAUGCCUGUCCGAGCGUCAUUUCAACCCUCGAACCCCUCCGGGGGUACGGCGUUGGGGAUCGGCCCUUUACGGGGCCGGCCCCGAAAUACAGUGGCGGUCUCGCCGCAGCCUCUCCUGCGCAGUAGUUUGCACACUCGCAUCGGGAGCGCGGCGCGUCCACGUCCGUAAAACACCCAACUUCUGAAAUGUUGACCUCGGAUCAGGUAGGAAUACCCGCUGAACUUAAGCAUAUCAAUAAGCGGAGGA
rnacentral:misc_RNA from 1 species